AGCGAACGCUGGCGGCAGGCUUAACACAUGCAAGUCGAACGGUCCUUCGGGAUAGUGGCGGACGGGUGAGUAACACGUGGGAACGUACCCUUAGGUUCGGAACAACACAGGGAAACUUGUGCUAAUACCGGAUAAGCCCUUCGGGGGAAAGAUUUAUCGCCUUUGGAGCGGCCCGCGUCUGAUUAGCUUGUUGGUGAGGUAAUGGCUCACCAAGGCUACGAUCAGUCGCUGGGCUGAGAGGAUGGCCAGCCACACUGGGACUGAGACACGGCCCAGACUCCUACGGGAGGCGGCAGUGGGGAGUCUUGCGCAAUGGGCGAAAGCCUGACGCAGCCAUGCCGCGUGGAUGAUGAAGGUCUUAGGAUUGUAAAAUCCUUUCACCGGGGACGAUAAUGACGGUACCCGGAGAAGAAGCCCCGGCUAACUUCGUGCCAGCAGCCGCCGUAA
rnacentral:rRNA from 1 species